CAGUGGAUGGAGAAGACCGGGGUACUGAAGCAUCUUUUCCCGUUUGACAUGUAAACCAGGGGUGGGUUGUAAAGGUUUAUGUUAUGGUCAAUGUAAGGUUGCUUUCAUGUCAAGUUAGAACAAUGUCAAUGAAAACGUGUUGAUAGUCGAGGAACAUUACCGAGGGGUGAAGGCUGUUAAUGAGGUUUUCUGUUACUGGAUUGCCUGAGUAAAAUCUCCUAACAAAACUGAAGUCCCAAAGAAGUGCUUUGCAUUUAAAGAACAUCCUUGUGCCAGUGUAUGAGAUAGAUUAACAUAUAUUCAACAAUAAAUUGACAGCAACACUCUUGGUCAGUGUCAAAUCUUUACAGUUUAUUACAUUUAUCAAAACAUUUUUAUUUUAUUCUCAGUUGUAUAAAACCACUUCACGUCAUGCUAAUAAAGCAUAUAUUUCACCUUUUGGAAACGAUUUGAAUAACAGCAAGUAAAAGUACACAUGGCCAAAAUGAUUAAAUAAAACCUUUCUGAAAAAAAUCUAAGCCAACCUGUUUCAAUGACUAGUGCACAUUAAGAAGUAUUUAAAGCUUGAAUUAAUAAUCUCUUUUAGAAGAAUACAGAAUUUGGUCGAAUGAGCUCAAAAUCAUAAGGGUCUGUUAAUCUAUCUCACAAAAGUGUAAUCCCUCUGCAGUGAGAACACUAAUGAAAAGCAUCCAAUGAACUUAGCCAACUGAGGAUCAUCGAUUAGACUACAUGAGAAAAUGGGAAGAACAUCAUUAGCACUGGAAAAUUAUCUGUGACCUUUAUUGCCACAGAACAAACGUGCAGAACUUAAGACCCGAUACAUAUUUUACCUGCUUAGUCUGUUUAAGGUUUAUAACACUGUCAGCAAUUACACUUGGCUUGUUUACUGACUGUUCAGGAAUCAUAUCAGAAGAGUGGUUAGAAAUGUCAAAAUUCAAACAGAGGUCAAAAGAUACUUCAAAAUAUUAAUAAUGCCUGGUAUUAAGCUAACUGUUCUUUGGAUUAAUACCAGGGAAAUUCUUGCGAUAUUAGACCACUCAUCUGUUCCCUCUUCAUAGCUCUUAAUGUAUGACCUUUGUAACCUUCAACUGCACUUAAUUUGAAAUAAAAGCACACAAAGCCUGCAUCACUCAUUACCCAUUGUCCUCUGCGACAUGCACACAGCAUUAGGCCUGCCCCCAUCACCAUCAUUAAAUACCUUUAGACGAUUCUCACUUAAUGCAUAUACAAUACCACCCGCCCAUAAAUUGCACUUUCUGAUGACCGGAACUUGCCCUGAGCACUUCUGUCUUCAUUGUAGGAAAACAAAACAGACUGUAAUAUAAGAAUGUAAGAGACGGUGAUGGACUGAAGACCCGUACAGGGAAGUGAGCUGCUCGCUGGGUGCUGCUGGUGCAUCCCCAGCCUGCCUGUGAUCCAGGGCCAGGCCUGUGCCCAGCAGGUGGAGUGUUUCUGGCCCCUUUCCUCUGACACGGUCCCUCAGCAGGGGCGACCGACCGCGAGGCCUGGAUCAGCACAGAGGGCUGUUGUGUCGAAUCCGCUCCCGUUUGCCUUGGCCCGGACUGUUGUCGGAGCGGGCCUGGCAACGGAGGCUGCGGGUCCAGUUACGCUCCGCCCCGGCCUUCCCCCUCACCCCCCGCUGGUGAAAGGAGUGGGUUGACUCAAAGACCAUAGAAGAAGAAAAUGAAACGGCUCUAAUGAACCCAGACAAGGAAUGAGCCCUUUCACAUUAGCGGACGAUUGCCACUUUGAAGUCUCCCUCCAAGAUGGGCAGUGAGCGCCGCAUUGAUCGACUGCUGAUAACCGCCACUGAUCCGGCCCAGCUGAAAAAGGGGUGCAUUAAGGAAGCUGGCCACCCACUCUGAGUUGCAUAAUCAUUAACGGACGGGUGGAGGCGUGGGGGAGGGAGUGUCUGGGGAUGUGGGUAAUGUCUGUGCCUGUAUCGCUUUGUCAUAUUCGGGGUUCCUGGAGGAAACGGCAGCUCAGGCACCGGCUCUCGGAAUUGACUCGGGAGGCGUGUGAGCGUGAAAAGGAAGUUUGAGUGUUGCCUUGGUCACACCCGCCUCCUGGGAGGGAUGCUGCCUGUUGUGGCUGUCCUGGCGUCCUGUUCUGAUUGAUUUGACAUGUACAUUCCGUCACUCUCAAGACCUGACACCUGACAACUGUUGCGUACAUAUAUUGACUGUACAGCAAUACAGUUCAAAGUUCCUUUUGAGCAACUGUUGUGGGAUUGUCAAAUGAUUCAUUUAUAUGUGCUAUAAUCUUGCACUCAAGAAGAUGAGGUUUUUAAAUCGUGUACUUGCCAAAAAUUGUGAGGCAAAAAUAGUCCCAUUCAUUUCAUAAGAGCAGGGCAUCUUUUCUUUUUAAUUGUAUCACAGAAUGAAUGGAAGAAUGUAAUUCAAAGCCAUCGCGGUGCCUAAUUGAGUCAUUUCAAAUAUGCUCCUGCUAACUUCUAUAAAUAUUGCGUUGAUUCCUGGCUGUUGAAUUGAUGUCCUUUCUAUUGUGUGCACUGUUUUUAUAAAUGGAUCGUGGCAAUGCCACAUUUGGUCAUUUCCUCCAAUUCUUUUUCCCCGGACUCCUUUCGUGAUCAAAGGGACAUUCAGAGGAUAUGACCAAAUUUGCAUGCAACUCAUUUGUAA